GACGAACGCUGGCGGCGUGCUUAACACAUGCAAGUCGAACGGAAAGGCCCUGCGUUUGUGGGGUGCUCGAGUGGCGAACGGGUGAGUAACACGUGAGUAACCUGCACUUGACUUUGGGAUAACUUCAGGAAACUGGGGCGAAUACCGGAUAGGAGCUCCUGCUGCAUGGUGGGGGUUGGAAAGUUUCGGCGGUGGGGGAUGGACUCGCGGCUUACCAGCUUGUUUGUCGGGUAGUGGCUGACCAAGGCUUUGAGGGGUCGCCCGCCUUGGAGGGUGACCGGCCACCUUGGGCCUGCGGUACGCACCAGUCUCCUACCUUACGCAGCAGUCGGGAGCCUUGCACAGUGGGCGCGCGCGAGUUGCGGCAACCCCGCGUUCGUGAUGCCGGCCUUCGGGUUGUGAACAACUUUGGCCUGUGCCGAAGCGUUCGUGACGGUACUGGGUCAGGAAGCCCCGGCUAACUACGUG
rnacentral:rRNA from 1 species